rnacentral:rRNA from 1 species
CCCUACGGGGCGCAGCAGGCGCGAAAACUUUGCAAUGCGGGAAACCGUGACAAGGGAACUCUGAGUGCCCGUAAAAUCGGGCUGUCCAUCGGUUUAAAUAACCGGUGAAGAAAGGGCCGGGCAAGACCGGUGCCAGCCGCCGCGGUAAUACCGGCGGCUCGAGUGGUGGCCACUAUUACUGGGCUUAAAGCGUUCGUAGCUGGUUUGUUAAGUCUCUGGGGAAAUCUUCCGGCUUAACCGGAAGGCGUCUCAGGGAUACUGGCAGACUAGGGACCGGGAGAGGUGAGAGGUACUCCAGGGGUAGGAGUGAAAUCCUGUAAUCCA